UACGUAGGGCGCGAGCGUUGUCCGGAAUUAUUGGGCGUAAAGAGCUCGUAGGCGGUUUGUCGCGUCGACUGUGAAAACUGGGGGCUUAACUCUCAGCUUGCAGUUGAUACGGGCAGACUUGAGUUCGGUAGGGGAGACUGGAAUUCCUGGUGUAGCGGUGAAAUGCGCAGAUAUCAGGAGGAACACCGGUGGCGAAGGCGGGUCUCUGGGCCGAUACUGACGCUGAGGAGCGAAAGCGUGGGGAGCGAACAGG
rnacentral:rRNA from 1 species